rnacentral:lncRNA from 1 species
UCUGAUGAGUGAUUGAUUUGUAGGUGGUGGUGGGGGUUGUGGUGGAUGUUAUGGUGAAGGAUGAGAUGAGGCAGAGAGGAGGGAGAGAAGAGCGUACGAGAGAGAGAGGGAGAGAAGAGAGAGAAAAAAACAUGGCAAAUGAAAAAAAAUUGGGAAAAGAGAAAUAUAUAUUUCACUGGGUCCAAUGCAUGUGAUACAUAUAGCUAGUCAUGUGGAAGCUUCUGGGUACCUCAUCUGCAUCACAAUUCACAACUCACACACUUGUCUUGUAAAGCUUUGCAUGUGUGACAUAUAGAUGAUUUCAAAGUUGCAUGUGGAACAUGAUCAUUGGGCCAAGACAAGCACAUGGUGGCAAUACACAAUUGGACAUGAGGCAAGAUGUGAAACAUUCAUUGGCCAAAUAAUUAGGGUUUGCAAUUCGGGUUUCCAAAUCUACGAUCUUUUAUGUAUAUUAUAGAUUAUAG